rnacentral:pre_miRNA from 14 species
GUUAAGGAGAAUAUCAUCCACACACUUGAAAGACCCCCGGAGCUGGGAGACCCUCACUCAAGUCUCGGGAUGAUGCAACCCCCCAAGAACUCACGUGAGACC